rnacentral:rRNA from 1 species
UACGAAGGGGGCUAGCGUUGCUCGGAAUGACUGGGCGUAAAGCGCACGUAGGCGGAUCGAUCAGUCAGGGGUGAAAUCCCAGGGCUCAACCCUGGAACUGCCUUUGAUACUGUCGAUCUGGAGUAUGGAAGAGGUGAGUGGAAUUCCGAGUGUAGAGGUGAAAUUCGUAGAUAUUCGGAGGAACACCAGAGGCGAAGGCGGCUCACUGGUCCAUUACUGACGCUGAGGUGCGAAAGCGUGGGGAGCGAACGGG